UCCCAGACUCCUACGGGAGGCAGCAGUGGGGGAUAUUGCACAAUGGGGGGAACCCUGAUGCAGCGACGCCGCGUGGGUGAAGGAGCGUUUCGGCGCGUAAAGCCCUAUCGGCAGGGAAGAAGGAGGACGGUACCUGACUAAGAAGCCCCGGCUAACUACGUGCCAGCAGCCGCGGUAAUACGUAGGGGGCAAGCGUUAUCCGGAUUUACUGGGUGUAAAGGGAGCGUAGACGGCCAUGCAAGCCAGGGGUGAAAGCCCGGGGCCCAACCCCGGGACUGCCCUUGGAACUGCAUGGCUGGAGUGCGGGAGGGGCAGGCGGAAUUCCUGGUGUAGCGGUGAAAUGCGUAGAUAUCAGGAGGAACACCGGCGGCGAAGGCGGCCUGCUGGACCGCGACUGACGUUGAGGCUCGAAAGCGUGGGGAGCAAACAGGAUUAGAUACCCCCGUAU
rnacentral:rRNA from 1 species